rnacentral:misc_RNA from 1 species
AACGAGGCCGACCUGCGGCUGAGUUACCUGCGGAAGGAUCAUUACCUAGAGUUGUAGGCUUUGCCUGCUAUCUCUUACCCAUGUCUUUUGAGUACCUUACGUUUCCUCGGUGGGUUCGCCCGCCGGUUGGACAAAACUUAAACCCUUUGUAGUUGCAAUCAGCGUCUGAAAAAACUUAACAGUUACAACUUUCAACAACGGAUCU